AUGCAUUCACAUUCACUAGAUACAUUUUACAUCCCGAGUACUUAUUACAUUUAACUUCCAAAUACAAUCUGAUUUAAUAUGAUUAUUACAACUUGAUUCUUUUCAUUUUCUUGCAUCCCUAAGUAAGGCCGACUCAGGGUACCGCUAUCUCUGGUCUCGGUGGUAGGGCGCUAACUAUGGAGCUACGCCCUUGCCUCGCGCCGCCGCGCCGCUCACGUGCGAACCUGUAACACCCCAAAACCAUGUGGGGUGAGAACCAACUCCAUGGUUCCCAGUGGGUACGGCCACCCAAGGGAAAAGCUCGACCAAUAGGUCCAAGGGAGGCAACUGCAAGUUAGUUCAAUAAACAGAUAGAUAUAUAUCUUGAUUAUGCAACGAAUAAAACCAUGCAUUGCCUCACGAAUGCAAUAAUGCAAUGCUAUAUGCAAAUCAUGCAAUAAUGCAACUAUGCAACCAACUAGUAGUUCAUUUGACACUACUUUCAAUUCUGCUAACCAUAGCUCAUCCAUUCGAUAUCUAAGGUUUCCUCUAUCUUAGAUUCUUGUCAAUCACCGUUUUAAUCAUAAAGUUUCAUCUACCUUUACAAGGCUAACCACCCGACUCGGUCUUGAGUCAAUCGUCUGCGGAGUACCGCACUAGAACCAGGCUCGAGGCGAUGGACGUCUCACAUACACCUCAGCCCUAAAUCCUCUCGACUAGGAUACCAAAUCCAUAACUCAUAAUGCAUACUUGUUGUACACUCAUUUGGCUAUGACCCAAUCUUACCGGUUAACCAUGUUAACCCCAAUAACUCACAACCAAAUCCCUUAAUAACGGGGGACUCGAACCUCCCUAGGGACCGUCAACUGGUGGGACUUUACCACGCCCAGUGGUGACCAACUCCGGAGCGCACCGCCCGAGGGGGAGCUACCUCCCUCAAGCCAAGACGUAACGUGAGUAUCGAUCCAAUCCUCAACUUGAGGAUUCAUAGCCACUCGUCACAAUGCCAAUGUCAUGAUAGGUCUCUACCUAUUUAAUCAUGCCACUCUCUAUGUCAACUUGGACCAAUGUCAAUAUGGUUAAACUAUGUUUAACAAUCACUUUCUUGAUGCCAAUCAUGUCUCUAUUGUCAUUGUCACCCUUGUUUACUAAUGUUCAAGUCCAACUCUCACAUUUACACAAUAAUAGGGUCCUAACAUACAUGAAUGACACCAGAAUAUAUAUGAUCAAUCACCACAAGUGUUUGCUAGGUUCAAGAUGCUAGGUUUAAUGCCACUCGAUCUAAUAUAUAUAUAGAUUGUCCACUAUGUUCCACAACAUGGCAAUAUGUCAUCAAGUAUGUUUUUCUAUUUAACAUAAUCCACAAUAUGUAAAUUCAUAAUAUAUCAUCAUGCACAUAUACCACUAGCAUCACAUGAUUUGUCAACAUACAUAUAGUCAUUAUCCAAAAUAGUCCAUACUUAGCAUCUCAUGCAUUCUUUUAGCACUUAAUUCAUUAUGCAUUACAUUUAGCAUAUUCUACAACAUGUCAUCAUACAUUCCUUUUAUGAUGUUCUUAUAAUGCUAACAUUCAUACGCCCUUUAUAUUAUGCAUUCAAAGCAUUAAUCAUAUGCAUUUAUCUAGCAUUUCUAUAGUAUGUUAACAUGCAUUCUUUUCACAUUCUUAUAUUAUGUCAAUAUGCAUCAAUAUGAAAUCUCAUUUCUUAGACAUAAAGGGCGACCUAGUCGCUUCGGUAAGCACAACCCACCUCAUUUCGCAUUCCGAUUGCUUGUCGACACUUGCAAUCGGCCUCCCGCGGCACCCGGCACCCGGUUUGGCCCGAUCUCUCACGCGACCACCCGAACGGCCUCCAAUUCACGAUCCGAAAAUUAAAGGUCUUCGGUUAUGUGCCACGAUGCUUCAAAUCCAUUUUCAUGAAUUUACGAUAUCGCCUCGGCCCUCCAGGCGAAAACGAAGCCUAAACGUCCGUUUCUUUAAUAACUUCGCAACGGCUCGACGAAUCGCCGAACCGUCUUCGCCAACGCGUUCGUUUACCUAGCAAUUAGAUUUACAGAGGGUCAAAUGAGAUCAAACCCUCAUAUUUACCAAAUUAGCAUUUUCGAGCCCUAAAUUACAACUAGGUAAAAAUCCACCAUUAGAGCCUUGGUUUCAAGCAUCAAACCUCUAAUUAGCAUACUAGAAUACCUCUAAAUCCACUCUUAGAGCUUAAAAACCAAACUAGAGAGAAAUGCCAUUAAAGGGUUUGAAGCUUACCUUCAAAGCUUGCUCCAAUGGAGAGGAAGAAGACGAAGAAGAUGAAGAUCAAUUUCCAAGCUUGUUUCUCCACCAAAACCUCCAAUUUUUGGGAGAGAUUUAGAGAGAAAAUGGGAGGUUCCUCUUUCUCCCUCUCCAAGCGUGUGUGCGUGUGUGUCGCGUGGGUGUGUGU
rnacentral:lncRNA from 1 species